rnacentral:rRNA from 1 species
UACGUAGGUGACAAGCGUUGUCCGGAUUUACUGGGCGUAAAGAGCGCGCAGGCGGUCGUUCAAGUCGAGUGUGAAAGCCCCCCGGCUCAACUGGGGAGGGUCAUUCGAUACUGAUCGACUCGAAGGCAGGAGAGGGAAGUGGAAUUCCCGGUGUAGCGGUGAAAUGCGUAGAUAUCGGGGAGGAACAUCAGUGGCGAAGGCGGCCCUCUGGUCCAGUACUGACACUCAAGUGCGAAAGCGUGGGGAGCAAACAGG